rnacentral:rRNA from 1 species
UACGGGGGGGAGCAAGCGUUGUUCGGAAUUACUGGGCGUAAAGGGCUCGUAGGUGGCCAACUAAGUCAGACGUGAAAUCCCUCGGCUUAACCGGGGAACUGCGUCUGAUACUGGAUGGCUCGAGUUUGGGAGAGGGAUGCGGAAUUCCAGGUGUAGCGGUGAAAUGCGUAGAUAUCUGGAGGAACACCGGUGGCGAAGGCGGCAUCCUGGACCAACACUGACGCUGAUGAGCGAAAGCCAGGGGAGCAAACGGG